rnacentral:rRNA from 1 species
UACGUAGGGACCGAGCGUUGUCCGGAAUCAUUGGGCGUAAAGAGCGUGUAGGCGGCCAGACAGGUCCGUUGUGAAAACUAGAGGCUUAACCUCUAGACGUCGAUGGAAACCGUCUGGCUAGAGUCCGGAAGAGGAGAAUGGAAUUCCUGGUGUAGCGGUGAAAUGCGCAGAUAUCAGGAAGAACACCCGUGGCUAAGGCGGUUCUCUAGUACGGUACUGACGCUGAGACGCGAAAGCGUGGGGAGCGAACAGG